GAUGAACGCUGGCGGCGUGCCUAAUACAUGCAAGUCGAGCGAAUGGAUUAAGAGCUUGCUCUUAUGAAGUUAGCGGCGGACGGGUGAGUAACACGUGGGUAACCUGCCCAUAAGACUGGGAUAACUCCGGGAAACCGGGGCUAAUACCGGAUAACAUUUUGAACCGCAUGGUUCGAAAUUGAAAGGCGGCUUCGGCUGUCACUUAUGGAUGGACCCGCGUCGCAUUAGCUAGUUGGUGAGGUAACGGCUCACCAAGGCAACGAUGCGUAGCCGGACUGAGAGGGUGAUCGGCCACACUGGGACUGAGACACGGCCCAGAAUCCUACGGGAGGCAGCAGUAGGGAAUCUUCCGCAAUGGACGAAAGUCUGACGGAGCAACGCCGCGUGAGUGAUGAAGGCUUUCGGGUCGUAAAACUCUGUUGUUAGGGAAGAACAAGUGCUAGUUGAAUAAGCUGGCACCUUGACGGUACCUAACCAGAAAGCCACGGCUAACUACGUGCCAGCAGCCGCCGUAA
rnacentral:rRNA from 1 species